rnacentral:rRNA from 1 species
CAAAGCUUUUACAUCUCAUCAACUAAAUACCUCCCACCGAUCAAAACCCACACACACUAUUGAGUGAUUCCAUAUUUUAUGGAAGACCCUAUGCUAGAAUUAGUAAUCCGAAGAACCCCCUUCUCUACAACACAAGUGUAAAUCAGAACGGACACCCCCCUGAUAAUUAACGCCCAUGAAAAAAGAACAGUAACUUAACUAGAAAAUCCUGCUCUAUAAUCCGUUAACCUAACACAAGAGUGUUAAUAGAAAGAUUAAAAAGGACGGAAGGAACUCGGCAAAUACCAACCCCGCCUGUUUACCAAAAACAUCGCCUCUUGACAAGAUAAGAGGUCCAGCCUGCCCAGUGACUUAGUUCAACGGCCGCGGUAUC